rnacentral:rRNA from 1 species
GACGAACGCUGGCGGCGUGCCUAAUGCAUGCAAGUCGAACGAACAGAGAGGAACUUGCUUCUUCUCUCGAGUGGGGCGCUGGUGAGGGAAACGUGGGGAAAACCCCCCUAAGAUAGGGAUAGAUCUUCGGGAAACCAGGUCAAACAGAAUAUAAUAGGUAUAACCCCAUAGUUCCUGAGGAAAGGACGGUUUGGCUUCCCUUGAGGAUGAGCUCGCGUCCGAUUAGCUAGUUGGUAAGGUAAAGGCCCACCAAGGCGACGAUGCGUAGCCGGCCUGAGAGGGUGAUCGGACACACUGGAACUGAGAUACGGCCCAGACUCCUACGGGAGGCAGCAGCUGGGAAUAUUCCGCAAUGGACGGAAGUCUGACGGAGCAACGCCGCGUGAGUGAAGAAGGCUGUCGGAUCGUAAAAUCCUGUUGUUAGUGAAGAACAAGUGUGUAAGUAACUGCGCAUGUCAUGACGGUAACUAACCAGAAAGCCACGGCUAACUACGUG